GCUCUAAUCAUCAAAAAAUUUAAAAAGUUCAUGAGAAAAAGAAGGCAAGACUUCAAGAAAAGAUCAAUGCCCAAAAGAGACUCUAGCAAAGAUAAAGACAAGGAGGAGCAGCCCCUUUUUUGUGAAUGCAAGAAGUUAGGGCAUUUCAAAGCCGACUAUCCUAUCGUAAAGAAAAUAUUUAAGAAGACUAAGAAGAAAGCAAUGGUCACCCAU
rnacentral:lncRNA from 1 species